AUGUCUUCACAUGAACUAACACCUAACUUCAUGGCCAAAUUCCAGUCAACUACUUCUGUCAUGUUUCUGAUGGAUUGCUUCAAUGAAGAAUUAAUGGAAAAUAUGAAUGCGACUUAUCUUAAGGAAGUUAUAGCAGGAAUGGUACCUGCUUCCUUUCCGAAGCUGUUCAACUGUGGUGAAGCAUAUCCACAGCAAAGAGCCUAUGAAGCCUCUUUCUCUGGAUUUCAGAGUUCUUCCAAUGACAAUGUGUGAUGAUUGAUCAUUUCUCUUUCCUACAAAAAGAACUGUUGUUACGUCUAUUCAUACGGCCCUAAUAUAAUGUUACUGGAACAGGCUACCUUUGAAACCUGCUCAGAUGUUGCAUUUGGUAAACAAACUUGAUGCCUGUCCUGUCUAGCCAUGUUGACUAAGAAACCUUUGCAGUUGGCAGAAUAAUCCAUCACUGACCUCUUUUUCUGUUACAUAGUGUGUAUUUUAUUAUAUAUAUUUUGUAGUCUAAAUUACAUGUUUCAUGUUAUCCAUGUUUUAACUUUAUCUAAAACCCCUAGAGCUUUGAAUGAUCAAGAGUUGACUGUAUUAUUCAAGUGAAAAUACUAGAGCUUUGUCUCCUGUCAUUUCUCCUGUUAGGGAACUGGCUUUUUAUAAUUAUACAUUUUAAUAUAUAUCUCCCACAGAAUUCAUAUCCUAUCUUCAUAGGAAAAAGAGCACAUUCUUAACAUGGUAGAGAUAGUGCAAGUUUGUAACUUGGAAAAAAAUUAAAAGAUGGAGUAGUAUUAUUUCAUAUCAUCUAAGAUUCUUGCUGGUAAAUUAUGCUAAAUAAUUAGAAUAUGAAAAAAAUAUUUACCUUCAUUUGGCUUAACAGAAAAAAAAAUUGUGGUCACCAUCAAGUUGUAAACUUGCAGCAAGUAGCUAUACAAAUAUUUUAUUCCACAAUCCACAAGCUUCCUUGGCUUUUUAUUUUACCUGUACCACUGAAGGCAUCAUCUGACAUUAAGGUUAUUUACUUCUCAUGAUGAAUAUUCCCCAGUGAAUUAAUUAUGUGGUGUUAUUAUUUGCUCCUGUGAACUAAAGUCAAUGCAAAGAACACAUUUUAAUGUUUGUAUUCUUGUCAUAUAACAUUCAUCAUUACAUUCUUCCUGCACUCUGUUGUAAUCCAGCCUUAAUACCAAAUUCCCAGUAACCUGAAUAAUUAAAUUUAGGAUGCUAGCUAAUUAUUAUAUUACUACAUUACAUUCAUACAAUGAUCUCCCAACAUUUUGUAGGAAACUUUCUUUUAAUUAUUUUUAAAAAAGUAGCCAUAUUGUUAAUGCUUUUUGAUUUUACUGAUACAUCUCAUUUAUUUAAAAAAUUCUGUCCAUAAAUAUGUAUUACCUAUAAAUUACUAACAGGUAAGCAUAAAAAUAUUUGUGCAUACCAUUAACAAUUUAAAAUGACAGGAAUUUGUAUGUUAUACCAGCCCUUAAAGAAACUAAAAUGGAAAAGUACAAUACAUUCUUCAUUCAGUCUAUCAAAAAGUCAGCUGACAACAAGCAACCUCUAUGAAAACAUUGGUACCAGGUGCACUUUUUAUUCUAAGAUUAACGUCCAUAAUUUAUGAAGCUGAGUAACUACAUCUAACUGUCACAGAAGUUAACAUCAGAAUGAAGAGGGCUGAGUUCUCUUUGCUGUUUUCAACAGUGUAUGCAYGCAUACUGUCUUUGUAAAUAGACAUCUUUUUAUCUCAGUACACAGUUGUAAACAGCAGAGAUGUUCGUACAACUUAAAAUAUUUUUGGUGAAAUGUGGUUGAAAAAUAUAUUUUAACACAGUAUUUUCUGUACGAAGAUCUCCAAUUCCUGCCUUUUAGAAUCGCAUAAAAAUACUGAAUUAUUGGUUCUCUGAAGAACAAAAAAUGAGUCUCAUAAUAACAGAGUGUGCAAAUAGUUCAGAUUUAUGGCAGCUCAGUCAUUUGUUUGGGGCAAGAGAGACAUUCUCAGGUCCCUUCCCUUGACUUGAAAGGGAGCGGGAUUAGGCUCUAAGAUUUACCCGGAAACUUGCAGUUCAUUUGCAGGACUAUAUAGGUGUGAAUUUAUCAGAGGAAUUCAGGGGCUUUGCCCUCCUCCACACUGCCACCAGCUUUGUUUAGUGCAGUGUACACUCCUUAAUGUGCCACAGCCAUGCCUGUAUGACUGCAUAGCUCCUCCCAUGUAGAUUAGGACUACCUCCACCCCAUGACUAAGGCCUGGAACAGAAAUAAGGUUUAAAGUAUCUUCUGGUAUGUUUUCCUGGAAUAUUCUGAAAUAUUUGUUUUUAUUCCUUUUUCAGACAUAAUGGGAAGAACCCAUGCGUACUAAGGUGUUUUUAGGAACAUAGGUGAGCCUUCUUUCUGCAGUGAAUUCUUGUGAGUGAACCUCUGAAGACAAAAAGACUAUACCGGGCUCAAGAAAAAUACUUGUCUGAAUGUAACUGAAAAAUUUUAAACUUUCCUUUGUAAAAGAGAUACAGUAAUAUCAAGUUGAAUAAACAACAUCUAGGUAUUUAAUUUCA
rnacentral:lncRNA from 1 species